rnacentral:rRNA from 1 species
AUACGUAGGUGGCAAGCGUUGUCCGGAAUUACUGGGUGUAAAGGGCGUGUAGACGGGAAUGCAAGUCAGAUGUGAAAGCCCCAGGCUUAACCUGGGAAUUGCACCUGAAACUGUAGUUCUUGAGUGUCGGAGAGGAAAGCGGAAUUCCUAGUGUAGCGGUGAAAUGCGUAGAUAUUAGGAGGAACACCAGUGGCGAAGGCGGCUUUCUGGACGAUAACUGACGUUGAGGCGCGAAAGCGUGGGGAGCAAACAGGAUUAGAUACCCUGGUAGUCCACGCCGUAAACGAUGGAUACUAGGUGUAGGGGGUAUCGACCCCCCCUGUGCCGGCGUAAACACAAUAAGUAUCCCACCUGGGGAGUACGACCGCAAGGUUGAA